GAUGAACGCUGGCGGCGUGCUUAAUACAUGCAAGUCGAGCGAAGCACUUUAACGGAAUUCUUCGGAAGGAAGGUAAAGUGACUGAGCGGCGGACGGGUGAGUAACGCGUGGGUAACCUGCCUUAUACAGGGGGAUAACAGUUAGAAAUGGCUGCUAAUACCGCAUAAGCGCACAGCAUCGCAUGAUGCAGUGUGAAAAACUCCGGUGGUGUGAGAUGGACCCGCGUUGGAUUAGCUAGUUGGCAGGGCAGCGGCCUACCAAGGCGACGAUCCAUAGCCGGCCUGAGAGGGUGAACGGCCACAUUGGGACUGAGACACGGCCCAG
rnacentral:rRNA from 1 species